rnacentral:lncRNA from 1 species
ACACCAUAGCCGCCAGCAGCAAAGCAGUGUCGAGGCGCUGGAGCGCCGCCCUUCGCCACCUUCCAGCCCAUGGUCUCCGCCAGCUGCUAGCCCUCCGCUCACUGCUCGUUGGUCUGCGCUAUGCUGCGGCCACGCUUCCGGCCGCCGCCCAUAGGGCAGAUCCAGGAGGGGGAACUGCGGUGACCACCGGAGCCAGAGGUUCGAGCCGCCGCCGAGGGUGCGGGCCGCGAGAGGCGCUUGGCUGUGGGCCUGAACGGCCAGCAGCGGCGAGGCCUGUGCGGGUGGGCGGCGGUGCGGCCUAGCGUGGUGCGGCCUAGCGUGGCGCGGGAGUCGGGAGGUGGGCGGGCUGCGGACUUGCGGCGCAGCGACGACCAAC